rnacentral:tRNA from 1 species
AGCUCAGUGGUAGAGCACUUGCCUUGCAUGCAUGAAGCCCUGGGUUCGAUUCCUCAG